rnacentral:tRNA from 1 species
GUCCCUGUAGCUCAGUUGGAUAGAGCUUUCGCCUCCUAAGCGAAGGGUCGGCAGUUCGAACCUGCCCAGGGACGCCA